rnacentral:lncRNA from 1 species
AUCUGUCUCUCUCUGGAGAUUGCUCGUCUUGAAGUUUUCUUGUGUGCCUAUAACAUAGUAAUUGAGCUCUCUCCUAGUCUCUUUCUGAUGGCCUUCUAUCAUUCUGGGUCUCGGCGUCCUAUAGCAGUUAGUCUUUGAAGUGGGUGAGCUGCUGGACUAAUCUGUGAUCCAAUGUGCUGGUCUCUGUCAAGUCCUUUUCAGGUGACUUCAGCUUUAAGCUGGAGCACCUUUGUAAAAUUUACACCGAGGUCUGCACGUGCCUCAGGAAGUACCCAACUGGGUUUGCUAAAGAAAGGUUGCCAGUUUAAAAUAGCCUGAGAGAUACCGUACCUUCUUGAAGACUGCGUGUGUCUAUCCCCACUGCUAUCUGCAGUAAUUAGCAUUACUAACGGUUUACAUUAGUGGAAAUGUGUUGUAUGUUGAGAUUUUGAUUUCAUCAUUAAGACUUGUACUUGACUCAUUGCAGUCCAGUGAAAUUCUAUCUUCCUAUCUUAACAGUAACUGAUCGUCUUCCAUCUGUGUAAGAAAAUGCUUUAAUUUUUAGGAUGUGAAAUUUUCUUUUCAAUUUACCAAAUGGGUCUGCAUGUACAUCUGGAUACAUUUUCUGAGUAUUUUUGCUGUUCUGUUUCUAUCAGUUCUCUUUCUCCUACCUGUGUACUGCUUUCUUCCCUUUGAGAGGUAUCAGCAUGGCUCCUCUGCUCUGUUGCAGGACUUUCCUCUCUUGGACUGUAAAGUAUUUAAGAGUAGGUGUGUGUACGUAUUUUUUCAAAUACAAAAUAUGAAGCAUGUCUCUUAAGAGAAUCUUAUAUUUCUUCAAUUGCAGCAAUGGGCGCAAGGUACUGUAAAAUAAGAAUACAGGAUGUUACUGUUUGCACAGUGUGAAUGGAACUUGGGUUCAUGUCAAGAUUUAAGACGUGUUAUUAUGCACAAGUAGAUUUGAUUUCUAAGUGAAAUACCGUAUUUGAACUGCUGACUGCACGCACAAAUCCCUGUAAAUUAAUAUUGUUUUUAAGUGCUUUGAGAUGCACUGUCUCUAAUAAAUGUCCAAGGUAUGAGUUAGAGAGUAAGCCUAUAUGUUUAGCCUGAUGCAUAAGUUUGUAUUGGAUUUUUAACAUCAUUAAAGGUAAAUGUCUACCUGCCAACUCUGAGGUAAUAUUUCAAGUUAUUUCUCAAGACACAGCUGAAAAUUAGCUGUGUGAUAAACAACUAAGCCUGAUACACCAAAAAUAAAAAUAUUCAUUCAGAUUACCGUUAAAAUUUUCUCUAUUACAGAUAAGUAACAGAGUGUGUUUCUGUAGUUAUGUUAAAUACUUUGAGUAAUGGAAAUUGAAAUAGUUUGGUUACUCUUUUAAUUUCACAUCCCC